GAUGAACGCUGGCGGCGUGCCUAAUACAUGCAAGUCGAGCGAACAGACGAGGAGCUUGCUCCUCUGACGUUAGCGGCGGACGGGUGAGUAACACGUGGAUAACCUACCUAUAAGACUGGGAUAACUUCGGGAAACCGGAGCUAAUACCGGAUAAUAUAUUGAACCGCAUGGUUCAAUAGUGAAAGACGGUUUUGCUGUCACUUAUAGAUGGAUCCGCGCCGCAUUAGCUAGUUGGUAAGGUAACGGCUUACCAAGGCAACGAUGCGUAGCCGACCUGAGAGGGUGACCGCCACACUGGAACUGAGACACGGUCCAGACUCCUACGGGAGGCAGCAGUAGGGAAUCUUCCGCAAUGGGCGAAAGCCUGACGGAGCAACGCCGCGUGAGUGAUGAAGGUCUUCGGAUCGUAAACUCUGUUAUUAGGGAAGAACAAAUGUGUAAGUAACUAUGCACGUCUUGACGGUACCUAAUCAGAAAGCCACGGCUAACUACGUG
rnacentral:rRNA from 1 species